CCAAUAAAAAAAAAUCAGUAUUGCUCCCUAAGCUCAAGAAACCUUUCAUUUCUUGAGGCAUGAAGCCAUAAAUUUUGAAAUGUGUUGUAUUUCUAGGAUAAAGCAACAUAAAAAAGGGACAUAAAGUCACAAGGAAGUCUCUCUUCGCUGUUCUCUACUCUCGCCCUCCAGCUGGCCUGCUCAUCGACCCUGCUCACCGGAGCAGACCCCGGUUGCUGGAAGGUGCUUUACAAAUGAGGUGACAUAGGCUCAGAGCAGCCAGGAGAACAGGGCAGCAGACACAGGACAGACAUCGAGGAAACUGGGCUUACAUAUCCAGGCCCUUGAUGUCCCAAAAGAGUCAAAGAAAGUGUGCCCAGGAUAGAACUUAUCCGUCUCCAGGUCUACAUCCCCUUCCUAAUGUAAGGACACUGCCAUCCAUCCAUCCUUUCUCACCAGAAACCAGAGUCACCUAGACUCCUCCUCCCACAUGGCCCCUGUCUGCGCUUCAGCCUAUGAUAUCUCUUACCUCCGUUCAUCAGGACCCCUUCCUCUGGAUCUUCCCUUCUGUGGCCUGAGUUCACCCCUCUGUCAUCUCGCAGGGGACCGGUGUUGAUUUCCUUUACGAGGCUUCUCGCUCAGUCUUUCCCCCAUGAAUUCCAACCACGAGCUGCCUCUGGACUGACCGCUCUAUGAAAAGCAAGUCUGACCAACUCUCUCCUCUACGCCGGCACCCGGGCAGGCUGUGGGAUGUCUGUGACGCUCCUCCCGGGGCUUAUGUCUAAUGCGCUUCCCCUCCUCACUCACAGGAGUUAAGGGGAAGAAGGGCCGUCCACCUUGGACUUACAUGGCUCCGCGUUUCCCCAGUCCAGCGGAAAGCGGACUGUGUGGCUUUAUCAAGCUCUGAGCGUGGGGAGAACGCUUAGCCUCCGGCCCUCACCUUUGGCCAAUUUUACGGCCAGUGCAGUGCCUGGGCCUCUUGGGGACAGGACUGACGACUGCUCUCACUUGUGGCCUCCUGUGGGCCCUGCUCCGUGUCCUCAGUGGGACAAAGCUCUACGGCUUGUCCCUUGCCUUUUGGGGACCCGUCUCCUUUUACCACUUUGCAUGGGAUGACCUAUCAACUCAUUGGAUGUCACCGAUGCAUCAGGGGCUGGCAAAUUUUUUCUGAAGAAAAGGCCAGGUAGUGACUAUUUUUGGCCAUCCAGUCUCUGUUGCAAACACUCACCCGUGCUGUCGUCGCAGGAAAGCGGCCACAGAGGGUGCAAAAACGGGCGCGUGUGGCUGUGUAUUAAUAACACUCUAAUCCCACGCACGGACGGUGAGCCGUUCUGACCUACAGGCCCGAGCGUGCCGGCCCCUGAACUGGGGAUACGUGUGCGCCGGAGAGGCUGAGACGCCCAGGCCAGAAGUGGUUGGAAACCAUGCCCAGAACAUGGAUUUUGGCGCUCAAUCGCCUCGAUCCCAAUCCUGACAUUCGUGUUGCCAGCUAUGGAGCCUUUGGGUAACUCUGCACAGAUGAUCUGGCUUGAUCCUCACCACAGUCCUCAGAGGAUGGAGGUGUGGGUGGGGAGGGGCCAAAGGCUCUGGAACUUGUAAGUCCUUUCAUCAGCGCACACCCGCCCACCUUUUAAGAGAAAAGCCGCUGGGCCCCCUCCGCUACAGCCCCAACUCCCAGCUCCCUUUCACACCGAAGCCCUGAUAAAGCCGUCUGCGUCCUCCGUCCACACUGUCAUCUCACACUCACUCAGCGGCUCUGCGAGCUGCCCGCGGCCCCAGCGUAUCAAAGUCACGAUCAGCUUCUGGGACAGAGACGCGCGGCCUGUUACAUAUUUAGCGAUGGCUUUCACACCGCCAGCCCAAGUGCGAGGAAAGGAUCAUCACAGCGCAGCUCCUCCCGGGAGGGGUGCUGCUGGAGAUCACCCGGGUCAACUCCUGUGGCCACCCCAGCGCGGGCGGACACCAGCAUUAUAACCUCUGCCUCUCCCAGGAGGAGGAAGAGACACCAGGGAUGUGUGUCAGGGAGGAAAGACGGCGAGGAUACAGCGACAAGACGGCCCCCUGCAGCCCAGGCGAGAGGCCACAGGAGAAACCAGCCCCACCAGCACCUUGGCCUUGGACUGCCAGCCUCCAGGGCCGGAGCAGUAAGCACCCAGCCUGUGGUAUUCUGUAUGGCAGCCCUGGAGGACUAAUACGGGGCAUCCAUGGUUUCUACGGGGAAGGGAUUCGUGGGCGGUCCAGCUGGCUGGUGCGGGGCUCUGACCAGGUCUCUCAGUCAGUGCCAGGGCUCGGCUGCGUUUGAGGCCCCAGCACACCCUCCAGGUGCUCCAAGCGCAAUGACAUGCACCCCCCUUGCUUCCGGAUGCUGUGUGUGCUGCUGUUCUGCCUGCUCUCCCAGCAGCUCAGAAUCCUUGUCCUUUGUCCCUUGAAUGUUCACGUUUUCCUGGCAUUCUUCUCCCGCCACACAUCCCUCUCUUUAUUUCAUCUACUAUGACGGCAUAAACGACCGCUGCUCUGAUGAUGUUCAAAUGUUAAUAAUUGGCUCCAGCCCUGGUUGGUGUGGCUCAGUGGAUAGAGCGUGACCUGCAGACUAAAGGGUCCUGGGU